GAAGAGACAGCACUUCUUUAGGUCCUGUACGGAAACCAUCCAGAUGCUUCCAUGUGUUGCAGAGGGGAUGUUAGCUGAGAUCUAGAAAAUACCUCUGUUCUGGGUGUUUUCAUAAUCCAGCACCCCACUGGGGGCUCAAGUCACAUAUUUCUGCCCAAUAGUACAGAUGAGAAGACCAAGGCCUAGAGGAAAGGAGAAAACUGCCAACGGCUAACAGCAGCUGCUGAAAACCCGUCCUUGGCUGCCAGCAGGACCUGAAGCUGAGGUCACUUCUCUCUCUGGAAAGACUCUGAGGAUGGAAAAGUACAGCCAGCCCCCAGGCUGGGAAUCCUGGAAGACAUAACUCAUCCCAGUGCCCCCCUUCCCUUGGAGUCCUUGGAGUCCCUUUCCCUAAGGAAGUCCACUUGACAGCCAGUUCACGGAGCCAGUGGCGGCGAAGAAAGGGAUCAACUGAUUGUUCGUGCAAAGUCCCUUUUGGAAAACAGAACCCCUGACCGAGAUCUGGAGGACAGACUCCGGUUGCUGGCCAGGUCCCUGUGGCAGCUGUGAUGGGAUCAGAUUCCCAGGAAAGGAGGAGGCUGCCACAUUUGCAAAGGGAGCAAAGAGGACAGGCAGGCAGCCUCUGAAACCAGAGACAGACACAGAGAAAAACAGAGAGUGAGAAAAUGCUCCCCCGAAGACAUAGUGAGAUUAUUUUCUGUAAACCUGUAAGGGAAGACAAAGUUACACAGUGAGUCCACCUUCUGAAAAGCAACAGGCAGACAGGACCGAGGGCCAUGCUCUUAAGGGGAGCCGUGAUGGAGCCGGGAGGAGAGGCGCAUCCUCAGCAGAGCUUCCCUCCCUUGCACACGAGCUGACGGCGUGAACGGGGGUGUCGGGGUUGGUGCAACUAUAGAAGGGAAAGGCUGGGCGGGGGUCACACAUACCUCAGUGGCAGGCAGGCAGGCGGCAGGCAGAGCGCGCUCUCCGGGCAGUCUGAAGGACCGCGGGAAUGUGGAGGGGUUUAGAGACAGGCAACAGGAAACCACUCAGAGCUCUGGGCUGGGUCUAUCUCCCCUCCACCCCGUGGUCCCUCCUCCUCCUGUCUCCUCCUUCCCCCGGCCUCCUCCUUCUCCCAUAGCCAAAGCUGUCUCUGUCUUUCAUUUCUUUCCUCCUCUUUUUGCGGUGGGCUGUCCUGACCAAACGUCCCAACCCUGCCUGCCUCAUCUGUUCCGGGGCUGCUGCCUAAACCGACUCACAGAGUGCCAGGGCUGGACAGGCCUGGAGGGAUGACCCAGAACAGCCUCUUUCUUGUUCAGAGGGCAAGUGAGGCCUGGAGACUGCAAGGAAUUACCCAAUGGCCCCCAGGGGCAGAACCAGGCCCAAGUGUCUUGAUCUUCUAACCAGUGAGCUUUACAGGAGUCCUCCCUAAUAUUAGGCAAUGCUGAGAAGGGCCAAGCAAUUCAAGGGGGUUGUAUUUGCCACAAAGGCAAGGCCAGGACUUACCACUGUACAGACAAGACAAGCUGCUACUAGUGGUAUCAUCCUUGAUGAUUUGGAACUGGUCUUAAAAAAAAAAAUCCCACUCAAACUCCACUUGUACCACUAAUAGACACAUAAGGGAUUAGACAUCUAGCUGGUGGACCUGUGCCACCAGUAUUGAACAGAUAAGGUAAUUGAUGAUAUUGAUGAUAAUCAUAGGAGUAACAAUAGCCAAAGUUUACUGAGGAUUUAAUAAUCUUCACAGCAACCCCUUAUCUUAGGCAUUGUAAUUAUGACCAUUUUAAUAAUAAGGAAACAUAGAUGCUAAGUAACUUGCCUAUGAUCACCUGGCAAAAAGUGGUAUGAGAGGGCUGAUUCUACGUUUCAACUUGGGUCACUCCUGUUAUAUAUGAACUGCUCAGUGCAACAGGUCUUGGUUGAAUGUUUAUUUUGUGCCUAACACUCUGGGAGGUAUGAGAAUUAAUAAAUACCUGGUCCUUGUCCUCAAAAAGAGACAGCUGAAUGGUUCCAGUCUUUCAGUCCUGCUCCUGGCCAACACUGGACCUCUCAAAGUCUAGCCAACUCCUCUUCCAGCGCCUUGAUAAACAACCCCCUCAUGCUGGGAACCACAGCAGUGGGCUGUUUUUCUCCCUCAUGCACCCCAGGAAGCCUCUCCUCUUUGCCUGGGCUUUCUUCCCAAGGCCUUAGCUGCCAACCCAUUUUACACCCA
rnacentral:lncRNA from 10 species